GGCCUGGCCGGAUGGUCCACCUAACGGUGUUGUACUGUCUGGCCGGGCCUUACCUCUUGGUGAGCCGGCGUGCCCUUUACUGGGUGCGUCGGGGAACCAGGACUUUUACCUUGAGAAAAUUAGAGUGUUCAAAGCAGGCAUAACUAGGCAUCAUGAAUACAUUAGCAUGGGAUAAUAGAA
rnacentral:rRNA from 1 species